rnacentral:rRNA from 1 species
AUUGAACGCUGGCGGCAUGCCUUACACAUGCAAGUCGAACGGCAGCACGGGAGCAAUCCUGGUGGCGAGUGGCGAACGGGUGAGUAAAGCAUCGGAACGUGCCCAGUCGUGGGGGAUAACGUAGCGAAAGCUACGCUAAUACCGCAUACGAUCUGUGGAUGAAAGCGGGGGACCGUAAGGCCUCGCGCGAUUGGAGCGGCCGAUGUCAGAUUAGGUAGUUGGUGAGGUAAAGGCUCACCAAGCCGACGAUCUGUAGCUGGUCUGAGAGGACGACCAGCCGCGCUGGGACUGGGACACGGCCCAGACUCCUACGGGGGGCAGCAGUGGGGAAUUUUGGACAAUGGGCGCAAGCCUGAUCCAGCAAUGCCGCGUGCAGGAUGAAGGCCUUCGGGUUGUAAACUGCUUUUGUACGGAGCGAAACGGCUUCCACUAAUACUGGGGGCUAAUGACGGUACCGUAAGAAUAAGCACCGGCUAACUAUGUGCCAGCAGCCGCCGUAACAC